CUCCAGUCUUCUAUGCCCUGAACCCGGUGUUACAUAGCGUGUCAGAGAAAAAGCCAGUUAAAAAGUUGUGAUGCUGAGGAGAGAACACUAGCCCUUGUCACUGCUUUUGUGAUAAGUGUUUUCUUUGUUUUUCCUUCCUUUCUCCAGAUGUCCCCAGCACCGGACACUGCAGGAAGGAAAGAGGAGCUGUGCCAGCCUGCAGCCAUCCCUAGGUGGUGCACGCCGCCCGCCAGCCUGAGCCUUGCUCUCCCAGCCGGGGGAGUGCGCAGCUCCUAGCUCCCGGGGCUGGCCUGGGGGAAGACACCAGGGCCAGCCUGCAGCAGCCCAGCUGCAGGAAUGAACGUCUGGUCAAACCCUAGAAGCUAAAUCUGAACUGAAGCUGGUGGAUAAGAAACAUUAUGCAGUUCAUCUACAAAAAUGCUUGCUACAGUUCAAUAAUGGAGGGAGGAAACAGCUGGUCUGCACAUUUGUGAGUGAACAGCAUUUAAUAAGAGUACAAUGAUGACAUGUAACGCGUGUAACUUUACUGUUGGUAAUGCUGAAGGCGGUGGUUAGUACAAAACAUCAAAAACGAUGUCUUGUUACCUUGGUUAAAAGCAGCAUUUUGAAAGUGUUGGGAGUACUGAGAAGUAUGAGGCCCCUUUUAGCAGUGAUUUGGGCAUUUUGUGGAAGAUGGUAUCAUGUGAUUUGAGAGCAAGUUAACAUUUUGAAGUGCCUGAGUGCAAGACUGUUUGCAAGCAGUGAUUAACGAGAACCCUUAAGUUUAUACGUAGGAGGUGUCAUUAAUGUAAUGACAGCCAAAUCAAACACUGAAAGGAAGAGUUUCAGUGACAACUGAGUUUCAGUGACAAUGAGAAGGAUCUGUAUCUUCUGGCUAGAUUAUUAAUACCAAUCAAAACCAGAAAGCUCAUGGAGGACCAGUGGUUUUUAAAUGACUUUUAAAGAUGAUCAUGUUUUGGGAUGGAGGAAUAACUCUUCCAACAACUAGGUGCUUAAAAAAAUCUGUCAAGAGGUCAAUAAGUCUUAUAAUUUCGUGACAAGAUUUCCAAAAACAUCGGAGGUGCAGCCCUUUGAGAGCUGAUGGAACAUGUGCUAGUAAAAGAUGAUAUUCCACUGCUGAAGAGGGAGCGGACCCUGAAAUGUUAGGUUUGUCAAGAUUCAGCAUGGCAGUGCUCUUUAUGGUGUCUAUGCUCAACAGAAGUUGACGCGAAUAUUAACUUCAGAUUCAAUGAGUUCAAGAAGUACCAGGCACUCAAGGGAAACCUGGAGCACCCAGGACUACUAGCAAAUUUUUGUGAAGGCAGACCAAUUUUCUGCUGGUGCAAAUCAGGCUAGUCUUGCUGGCCUCUGUUGCAGAAAUUGGUAAAGCAUAAUUAACCUACAGGGACUUACUCUACUUUAGUCCAACUGAGAAUCUGACCUCGGGUAUUCACUAACUUCCCUAGUUCACAGCAAAUGUUUCCUAGAUGAAAUAGUGACCUAAACACUUCCAUCAACACCAUUGCUUCAUAAAUACUGUUUUUACUGUAUCACAUAGCAUGCAAAAUAUAGGUAGUGCAAGACAAGGGAAACUACCGUCAAGACAGAAAACCAGCUAAAGGAGUCAAGUUUAUUUUAAGUCUUGAAAAUACACUAACUUUGGGAAAACGGGCACUUGUAAAGGACCUUGGUGAAUUAUGGUCCAUUGUCAGAAAUGUUGCAGCUAAUUAGCAGCUAAAGCUUCCAGAGAGAAGAAACAGUGACAUGAUGGAAUGGCUGUUCGCAGAGUCUCAGCCCAUAGGUGUUUUGAUGCUGGCAGUGUUAUUGAUGGGACUUCUACAUUAAGUUAAUUUAAAGGGGGAGCCACAGCACAAAGCUUCUAAAUAAAAUGAAUGUUCAGUAGCAUGUGCCUGUUUGGUACUUGCUUACUGACCACUGCUUUUUCAAUUAGAGUGUUUUCAGGAGAUGCCAUUCUGGUGGAAAGUGAGAUUUUAUGGCCCUUCGUCUGCUCUGUGUCACUUACUACUACCGUUAGUGUUCUGUGGGUUAUGGUAAGAGUUGGAAGCCUUGAUCAUUGCCUCCUUAAGCACAGAAGAAUGUAUGUCUUUGUCCCGAAGUAUUACUGGAUCAUCCAUGGCCUUUUCCACACAGAGCACAUUAUCUUAGCACCUCCAAAAAGCAGGAGGAGUUCCAUUGCACAUGCACAGUCACCUGCAGGAUACCUGCCGUUGGCUCUCACUUCCAGGGCACGAAAGAAGAAAUACAACUUGAGGUGAAUCUUGGUGAGGAAGCAAUCCAGCAUGUCACGAAUUGCCUGCCACUAUCUAGAAAUCACUUGUGUGAGGUUGCUCCUGGAAUUGAACAUUUUUCAUGGAGGGAACCAAUUAAUCUUUCCCAGUGUUACUACAGUGCUAUUUACUAUGCUCUGGUGAUCCAUCAAUUGCCCUUCUUUGGCUGCUCCAAUGCAAAUUGUCAUAAUUGUUAUGGCAGCAUGCCUGAAAGAAGGAAUUACCAUCUCAGUGGAGCAGUGGGACGCAACAUAUAACUGCGUGAUGUUCCUUCCAGUCCUGUUUCCUGUGGCAAGCGUGAUGGCAUGUGGCACCUGUAUGAUUGUCCAGGAGAACAUGGCAUUAGAGGCUGCUUCUCCGCUCUGCUAGUACAGAAAACAAAUGGAUGGUCAGAAAUAACAGUUUCCAGUGCAUUAACAGCAAAUAGAAAAAUACAUCAAAAUGGGAAGCUCCAUGUCAGAAGCAUCAAUUUCCUUUGCUCCCCAUUUGGCUUGGGACAACCUUUGAGGGAAAGCAUUGCAUGAACAUGAAUGACAAGCAGGGAAUGAAGAUGGUGCUUGAAGGUAGCGUGGGAAAUGAGUGCAAAUGGUGUCAAAUCCUUGCCACUAACGGAUUCAUCUUGCUGUUGGGGUACAAUGGAGACGGAUAGGAGAAGGCAGGAAGAGGUAAUCUACUUUAGGAAUUUGUUUAGCAGAAACAUAGCUGAAGCAAAGGGAUAAUACACAGCCUUAAUAGUGAAAUAUAAUCAGAUUCACAUCAGCUCUUGCUGGACAAUAACUCUGAUCUGUGUCUUGGUAUAAGCCUAAUACAUAGUGCUUCACAUUUCAUUUCCUCUGCUUUAUUUUCGGUAUUGAGUUCCGACUCUAUAGCAAUGCAUUUUAGAACAGUGACU